rnacentral:rRNA from 1 species
CCUACGGGUGGCUGCAGUGGGGAAUAUUGGACAAUGGGGGCAACCCUGAUCCAGCCAUGCCGCGUGUGUGAAGAAGGCCCUCGGGUUGUAAAGCACUUUCAGUGAGGAAGAACGCCUGGUGGUUAAUACCCAUCAGGAAAGACAUCACUCACAGAAGAAGCACCGGCUAACUCCGUGCCAGCAGCCGCGGUAAUACGGAGGGUGCGAGCGUUAAUCGGAAUUACUGGGCGUAAAGCGCGCGUAGGUGGCUUGAUAAGCCGGUUGUGAAAGCCCCGGGCUCAACCUGGGAACGGCAUCCGGAACUGUCAAGCUAGAGUGAAGGAGAGGAAGGUAGAAUUCCCGGUGUAGCGGUGAAAUGCGUAGAGAUCGGGAGGAAUACCAGUGGCGAAGGCGGCCUUCUGGACUGACACUGACACUGAGGUGCGAAAGCGUGGGUAGCAAACAGGAUUAGAUACCCGAGUAGUC